UAUAUUUUAGUGUAAUAGCAUUUAAAUUUUUGAAAUUUAACGUAUUAAUUAAAUAUUAAUAAAUAUAA
rnacentral:tRNA from 1 species